ensembl:lncRNA
CCCGUCGCUGCCGAAACCGCCGCCUCUCGCAAAGGAGCCCCGAGGGCUGUGCGAGCGGUCAGAGCCUCUGCCCCGCAGGGCGACCCCGGGCAGAAGCCGCCCGCAUCCACCGCCCCGAGGGAACAUCGCUCAGCCGCAUCCCGCUGCCCGCCGCUCAAGGUCACCUCAGCGCGGGGCAGCCCUGAGGGAGCCCCCCCGGGGGUCGCCGCUCCCUGAAGCCCCCAAGCAGCGCCGGCAGAGCCGGGCCGUGCCGGACUCCUGCUCCUACCUGAGCCGGCGAGCGGAGCCGAGCCGAGCGGAGCCGCCGGGAGCGCGGAGGCGGCCGCUGUCCCCUCAGCAGCGGCGGCGGCGCCCGGGGAGUGGGGCCGCGCACGGCGCCUCCCUCCUGCGCCGGGCCGCUGCGCUGCGGUGGGCGGCGGCGGCGGCGCUCCGUCAGACUUAGCGGGGCCGCGGCGAGCGGGGAAGCCCCGGGGGGGGGGGGCGGGCAGCGCCUCUCCCCUCCCCGCCGAGGUGCCGGCCCCAGCGGAGGCUCGCCUCGCCUCCCCCGGCAGGGCUGGGGCUCCCCUCAGCGGGGAGAGGCCGGCGCCGCGCCCAGCUCCGCCGCGGCUGCAGGGGGCGCGCAGCGGCGCCCCCAGUCAGCGGGCUCGGCCCUGGGCUCCUGGGUGGGCGCCCCUCAGGCCCCGGAGCCCCGCGGAGGGAGGGGAGAAGGGGAGUCCUGGGGGGAUGUGGGGGACCCUCAGCCUUCAUCGCUCGUCAUGGCGCUAACGUUCGCCUCUCGCAGUGCGGGGGCUCGCAAAAUGUCAGGGCACCGGCGGGCACUGCGCGGUGACACCGGUGAGGGUGGCUCUGAGCUCCGCCUCGGCGAGAGGGGCUUGAAUCGCAUCUGUCAACAGCAAAAGGUCCCCACCUCGCGCCUUCUAUUCCCUCAACACUCACAGAUUUCUGUCAGUAUCCUCCACAAUAUGCAAGAAGGCCUCACCCUGACUGGAGAAGGAGGCUCUGGCCCUGGGACACAGCACCUGUCAAAGAAACAUAGGAAUGAACAGUAUCAAGACUUUGUUCCCCAGCACAGUACUUCUGGUUACUCCAAGCUGUUUCCUUACCUUCUGUGUUGGUGGAGAGGAACGAGGCAUUUGCACGGAAUGGAGGCACCAAAGACGGACUGUCCUCUUCAGAGCACAGUGAGGCAGGCAAGGCUAGGUCUUGUAAAUGAAGUUACUGCUGUUUCCUCUGCGUUUUCUACCGUCUCUGGUUUAUUUCUUGGGCACACCAAUGUUCAUAGUUCAAAUACAUAUUUGAUUCAAUCUUAUAUGAGCUUCAAUAAGGAAAAUCCGGAAGUUUCUGCCCUAAGGCAAACAUAAAAGGUUGAGUUAAGGCAGUGAAUGAACUCUUGUUGCAGAAAGCAGUAUCUUCCCAGAUACCGUGACCAUCUUGCAGUCUGCAAAUAAGUACAGAGAGCAGUCUUAAGUGUGUGUUCAGUUAUGUAAGAGCAAGGAAAGCAAGCCUAGAUAAGAAUAUGCAUUUGAAGAAAGGUUGUUUUAUUACACAGGACAUAGGUAAAUCCAUAAAGGAAAAUCAUCUGUCUUUCAUGGCACAGCAAAAAGGUACAAGCAAAUCUUCAGCCGUUCCUUAAAACUUUUCACAAACCAUGUAUGCAUGUUACUUACUUUUAAUGAACUGCAAUGGCUUGUAUUAAUCAGAAA